CGGUGAAAAAUGCUCUAAAACAGUGUUUCUUAAACUGUAUUUCUUGGAAACUUUUUAAAUUCCUUUUAACGAUAGCAAUAAUGAAAAAAAUAAGAUACCGACAUACUUCGCACAAUGAGUAGGCCACUGUUGUAGAUGGGAAGUUGUUAAGGUAGAGGGAAACAUUAACGAAAAACGAUUCUGAGCGGAGUUCGGUUAUGAG